rnacentral:lncRNA from 1 species
AGACUGGGUGAGUCUUCUGGCAUUCAUCUUUCUCCUGUGCUGGAUGCUUCCUGCCCUCAGACAUCAGACUCCAAGUUCUUCAGCUUUUGGACUCUUGGACUUACACCAGUGGUUUGUCAGGGGCUCUCGGGCCUCCAGCCACAGAUUGAAGACUGCACUGUUGGCUUCUCAACUUUUGAGGUUUUGGGGACUUGGCAUGGCUUCCUGGCUCCUCACCUUGCAGACAGCCUAUUGUGAGACUUCACUUUGUGAUCGUUGACACAUUUAUUUAUUGACAGUUUGGACAAAAGUUUAUCAAGGAACUUUUCACGCUUAGGAUGAAUUACAACAAGAACCAACAUUUCUUUAGUUCCAGCAGCUCUAUGCAACUCAUUUUCAUCUAGCAUUACCUCUCCAAAACCUGAAUCUCCACAAGAAAGCCACACAGCAAUUAACCAGUGUUGCAAGAACUGCUUCUGUAAUAAAGGUGGGAAGACAAAUUGAUGCAACCCUCUUGAAAAGCAAUCUGGCAAUAUGAACCAAGAGCCAUGAAAAGGCUUAUGCUAUUAUAAUUAAAUGGCUGUAAUGUUGGCUGUAAAUAUGAAAUUUUCUUUCACACACCAAUGUUUUCAAGAAUGGCAUAUUCACAUGCAGUAUGUGACGGAGUCUUACUCUGUCGCCCAGGCAGGAGUGCAAUGGCACAAUCUUGGCUCACCACAACCUCCGCCUCCUGGGUUCAAGUGACUCUCCUGCCUGGCCAUAGAAGCAAACACAAACAUAGAGGAAUUGGCUUUGGGCAGAUGGAAGGACCUCAGAGAAAAGAAACAAAGGAAAGAAAACUGGAUGGAUAAAGGUACAAAGAAAUUUGGAGUAGAGCUGAAUUGCAUCCCCCUCAAAUUCAUAUGUUAAAAUUCUGAUCCUCAAUACCUCAGAAUGUGACUGUUUCUGAAGACAGGGCCUUUAAAGAUGUAAUUAAGGUAAAAAAGUCAUAUCGGUGGGCCCUAAUACAACAUUAAGGAUGUCCCUAUAAGAAGAGGAGAUUAGAACACAGGCAUGCACAGAGAGAUGACAUGUGGAGACACAAGGAAAAAUGACCAUCUCGUCAAGGUGAAAAGCCUUUUGAAGAAACCAACCCUGCCAAAGGUUAAAAUUCCCUGUGGAAUUUUAAGCUUCACAGAUAUGAGGAAGUAAAUUUCUGUUGCUUAAACUGCCCAAGCUGUGGCACUUUGUUAUGACAACCCUAUCAGACUAAUACAAAUACCCUCUUGUGAAAGUCACCUUCACCCUUCAGACAUCAAAAUAUGGCUCCUACCAUCAGUGGCCACUGCAGGAGCAUAAGCAGUCAUGACCUCAGGGGCCACUCUGGCGGAGAGCUUACCAAAUUAUCAUUAGAGACUUUCAAAUUUACCAGAUUAUUAUCAAGCAUUUUAGGGGGCAUUGUUUAAUCCUAACAUGUAAUCCCUAAAAUCUAGCCAUCUACCUUUUAAUUUUCUUUCUGUGAACCUAAUUCUUGAGGUUCACAGUUUUCCUCCACGUAGUCUCCUUACUCUCCUCAGGCUACACUUUUUUUUUUUUUGAAAGGAUCAUUUGAUAAGGAAUGAAAGCAAGAUAGGGGAAGCAUUUGGAGAAUUGAUUGCACUGCACAAAUGCAUUGAUAUGCUGGCUUGGGCGAGGUGAUUAUGUGCAUUUAUCAUUUGUGUGAUUAUCUUAAAAGGAGCUCUUAAAUAAGAUAAAAUAAUUUGCUGAACUUCAAAGGCAGGAAUUAGGAUUAGAGAAACUAAAAAGCAAUGGAUCUUGGUUGUGUUACCUUCUGUUGUUUCUCUUAAAUGAAAUUUGUCCUCUGGUCCAUGGACACAUUCCAGUUGAGACUGGUAACCAGACUGCAAUAGGAUCUUUAUGGCUCCCUGUCGGACAUAUCAUCAAAUGUUUAAUAUGCAUAACUACUUCACUUUGGUGGCUUGUUCCCCUAUACUUGCCUUACGCUGAAGACUUUAGUUGGUGACCACCCUUGAAUGCCAGAAGCAGCAGGUUAUUUAUUGUUAAACAUACACAUACAUGUAUCGAUUGGACUCUGACUACUUGGAAAUUUAGAGAUAAGACACUUUAAAUACUAAGGGUACAAACAAUACUGCAGGGACACAGAAGUUCUCUUCCUCUUGGUUGGUAAAGCAACUUGGAGAGUAGGGCGGACUCCCAGGUAAGGACCAUCAAGUAGAGAAAACCUGGGAAGAGCUUGGCCUCGGAAAGCUGGGGACCCCAUGGAAAAACAAACAUUAGUCUAGCAUGAGCAUAUCAUGUCUUCUUGACUCCCAAGGUUACCCUAAGACAGCAUGAAGAUCUCUUGGUCAGACAGGGGUCUAGCAAAGCUCUGUGUCACCAGAGAUAUUUAAGCGUUUUCUUGACUAGUGAAUCCCAAAUCUUGUAAAUUGUCUCACUCAGAUUAGUUGCCUGCUAGAUAAAGCAGAAUAUUAUCCUCCAGAUAGAUAUAAAGAGUAAUGAAUAGACAGACUGAUACACCCCUUGGAUAUGGUUAGAGAAGCUGGGAAUAAUUUAGAUUUGUAUGUCCCCUGAGCAAACUCAUUUUAAAAGGAGACAAAAACCAACUAUUGCUUAACUCUGCUAUUCUUCACAUCUUUAUGCUGUACUUGACUGACUCUGACUUUAGUUUAUUGAUAUCAUUUUGUUUUAUUUUAAAAGGUUUGUAGAAAUACUAUUCACAGGAAGCAAAUAGGAAUUCCUUAUCGCUAAACAGACACUAAGUCAAUUGGGUAAGUCAUGGAAAAAAUAUGUGGGCAAUAUGGCAUAGAGGAGGCCAUGUUAGUCUAGCCAAAGUAACUUCACAUGGAAUCAGGAGGAAUGUGAAUAGUGCUACCUCCUCACACCUUUCAACCUGACAGUCUGGCUAUUCUAUUUAGGCUGCCUCUGGUCAUUGUGGGGGAAGGGCAAGACAUGCUGAAAAGGGCGUGCCACAAUUGAUCUUUGGGUGUGAGACUCAUUUCCUGGAGGGGUGAUAGGCAGUAAUACUAGCAGUAAAACAGUAAAACUUACUGGGGCACCGCCUUGUCUCACUGAUACUGGAGGGAUAGUUGUAUUUCAGUCUAUAGGAAGAUAUCACUCAUCAACUUCAAAAAAACAAACAGGGUCAGGUGCAGCGGCUCAUGCCUGUAAUCCCAGCACUUUGGGAGGCAAAAGCAGGAGAAUUGCUUGAGGCCAGGAGUUCGAGGCUGUAGUGAGCUAUGAUUGUACGACCGCACUCCAGCCUGGGUGACAGAACAGACCCUGUUUCUAAAACAAAACAAAACAAAACAAAACAAAACAAAACAGAAAAACCCCAAAAGACUUCCCCAGCUAGGAGACACACACUGUUCAGCAAGAGGAAGCAGAGGAGGGGGCAGUGUUCCACCUGCAGAGACCCAUUUGGCCACUCUAAAAUUAGCCCCAUGAUUUCCUUUCAUUCUUUGUGUCCUAUGAUCCUGAACUUGAAGUUUCUCUGAAACUAUCACUAUAGCUGCAGCAAUCUACUGUUUGGGGCUUAUUUUGGGCUGUCAUUUCCUAUAUUUUCCCAGAGAUCUUAUCCUGCCUGCUUUUUACUUUUCAGGUAUUUCUCAAAUGUUCUUAUCCUCUUUUUUUAUUUUCUAGUGCUGGUAAUAAUGUAUUACUUUUAGAAUUUUUUUCUCUCUUAGUGGUUGGAAGAGAUAAGGAAAUUUUCCUUCUUGGUUCAACUGAAGAUAAAAAUUUAUUUUGAAAAGAGAAUCAUAGUUUUCAGGAAGAAAGCCUAACUAUAUCCACUGAUGAUAAACUCUCUCAUCUUACCCAUCAGUGCUAAGUAUUUAAAUGACUACACAGAUCUUUUUUAAAAAUUAUUUUCUAGGAAACCAUAUACCAAAGUCAAAAAGAUCACAGUUAAUACAACCUUUAGAUUUAUUUUAAAGUUGCAUUAUUCUAAGGAGGCUACCUAAUUUAUAUAGAACUAAAAUUCUUUCAUGUUAAAGAAGAAGCGAAAUUUACUUAUAAAACAAAGGGGCUGGGUGCAGUGGCUCACGCCUGUAAUCCCAGCACUUUAGGAGGCUGAGAUGGCAGCCUCACUUGAGGUCAGAUCACUUGAGGUCAAGAGUUAGAGACCAGCCUGGCCAACAUGGCGAAAACUCGUCUGUACUAAAAAUACAAAAAUUAGCCGGGUGUGAUGGUGGACACCUGUAAUCCCGGCUACUCGGGAGGCUGAGGCAGGAGAAUCUCUUGAACCCAGGAGGUGAAAGUUGCAGUGAGUGGAGAUUGUGCCCCUGCACUGUAGCCUGGGCAAUAGAAUGAGACUUUUUCUCAAACAAACAAACAAACAAAACAAAGGGACUAGGAUAUCGAGUUUAUUAAACAGAUGCUUAAACAAAUACUCAUACAUUUUCCUACCUAUUUUUCUAGGCAGAAGAUAUUCCAUAUUACUUUGUAACCUGUUCCCCUAUACUUGCCUUAUGUUGAAGACUUUAGUUGGUGACCACCCUUGAAUGCCAGAAAUAGCAAGUUAUUUAUUGUUAAACAUAUACAUGCAUGUAUCGAUUGGACUCUAUUCUGAUUACUUGAAAAUUUAGAAAUAAGACACUUCAAAUUCUGAGGGUACAAACAAUAACACUGCAGGGGCACAGGAGUUUUCUUCCUCUUGGUCGGUAAAGCACCUUGGAGAGUAGGGCAGACUCCCAGGUAACGACCAUGACGUAGAGAACCCUGGGAAGAGCUUGGCAUCAGAAAAGAGUGAGUAAUGAAAGGGGAAGGUCCUCUUAUAAAAGCAGCAGAUCUCAUGAUAGCUCAUUCACUACCAUGAGAACAGCAUGGGGGAAACUGCCCCCUAUGAUUCAAUCACCGCCAACCAGCUCUCUCCCUAGACAAAUGGGGAUUAUGGGGAUUACAAUUCCAGAUGAUAUUUCAGUGGGGACAUAAAGCCUAACCAUAUCAGGGGUCUAAUGGAAAAAGUAUAAAAAAGUAUACAAUAUGUAAGAAUAGAUAAGUAGUAUAAGCAGAGAGAUGGAAGCACUAAGAAAGAAUAAAAAGAAAAUGCUAUAAAUAGAAAACAGUAUAAAAGAAAUAAAGAUGCCAUUGAUGGGUUCAUCAGUAGACUGGAUAUCACCAAAGAAAGCUUGAAGAUGUGUUCAUAGAAACUUUUCAAACUGAAAAUCAAGGAGAAAAAAAAGAAUGAAAAUAAAAGAAUAGUAUAUUUGAGAACAAUAAUCCAGUAAUUACAAAAGUUGUAAUAUAUUUAUAAUGAGAAUGCCAAAAGCAAUACAAAGAAAAAAGAGUAGAAGAAAUAGUUGGGGUAAUUAUGGCUGAGAAUUUUCUAAAAUUAAUAACAGACACCAAAUCAUAGCUCUAGGAAGCUCAGAGAAUACCAAGCAGGAUAAAUGCCAACUCCCCUGACCCUACAAAACCAGAAACCAAACCAAACCAGAACUAUA